rnacentral:rRNA from 1 species
UACGUAGGGUGCGAGCGUUGUCCGGAAUUAUUGGGCGUAAAGAGCUUGUAGGUGGUUUGUCGCGUCGAAUGUGAAAACCCGGGGCUCAACCCCGGGCCUGCAUUCGAUACGGGCAGACUAGAGUUCGGUAGGGGAGUCUGGAAUUCCUGGUGUAGCGGUGAAAUGCGCAGAUAUCAAGGAGGAACACCCGGUGGCGAAGGCGGGACUCUGGGCCGAUACUGACGCUGAGGAGCGAAAAGCGUGGGGGAGCAAACAGG